CCUACGGGAGACAGCAGUGGGGAAUAUUGCGCAAUGGGCGAAAGCCUGACGCAGCGACGCCGCGUGAGGGAUGAAGGUCUUCGGAUCGUAAACCUCUGUCAGCAGGGAAGAACGGUCACGGUGCUAAACAGCAGUGAAUGGACGGUACCAGCAAAGGAAGCACCGGCUAACUCCGUGCCAGCAGCCGCGGUAAGACGGAGGGUGCGAGCGUUAAUCGGAAUUACUGGGCGUAACGCGCGAGUAGGCGGUAUGUCAAGUCAAGGGUGAAAUCCCCGCGCUCAACCUGGGAACUGCCUUUGACACUGGCAAACUGGAGUGUGUGAGAGGUUCGUGGAUUUCCUGGUGU
rnacentral:rRNA from 1 species